rnacentral:rRNA from 1 species
AGUGAACGCUGGCGGUAGGCCUAACACAUGCAAGUCGAACGGCAGCACAGUAAGAGCUUGCUCUUACGGGUGGCGAGUGGCGGACGGGUGAGGAAUACAUCGGAAUCUACUUUUUCGUGGGGGAUAACGUAGGGACACUUACGCUAAUACCGCAUACGACCUACGGGUGAAAGCAGGGGAUCUUCGGACCUUGCGCGAUUGAAUGAGCCGAUGUCGGAUUAGCUAGUUGGCGGGGUAAAGGCCCACCAAGGCGACGAUCCGUAGCUGGUCUGAGAGGAUGAUCAGCCACACUGGAACUGAGACACGGUCCAGACUCCUACGGGAGGCAGCAGUGGGGAAUAUUGGACAAUGGGCGAAAGCCUGAUCCAGCCAUACCGCGUGGGUGAAGAAGGCCUUCGGGUUGUAAAGCCCUUUUGUUGGGAAAGAAAAGCAGCAGGUGAAUACCCCGCUGUUCUGACGGUACCCAAAGAAUAAGCACCGGCUAACUUCGUG